rnacentral:rRNA from 1 species
ACAGGGAUUGCCCUAGUAACGGCGAGUGAAGCGGCAACAGCUCAAAUUUGAAAUCUGGCUCUUUUAGAGUCCGAGUUGUAAUUUGCAGAGGGCGCUUUGGCGUUGGCAGCGGUCCAAGUUCCUUGGAACAGGACGUCACAGAGGGUGAGAAUCCCGUACGUGGUCGCUAACCUUCGCCGUGUAAAGCCCCUUCGACGAGUCGAGUUGUUUGGGAAUGCAGCUCUAAAUGGGAGGUAAAUUUCUUCUAAAGCUAAAUACUGGCCAGAGACCGAUAGCGCACAAGUAGAGUGAUCGAAAGAUGAAAAGCACUUUGGAAAGAGAGUCAAAUAGCACGUGAAAUUGUUGAAAGGGAAGCGCUUGCAGCCAGACUUGCCUGUAGUUGCUCAUCCGGGCUUUUGCCCGGUGCACUCUUCUGCGGGCAGGCCAGCAUCAGUUUGGGCGGUUGGAUAAAGGUCUCUGUCAUGUACCUCUCUUCGGGGAGGCCUUAUAGGGGAGACGACAUGCAACCAGCCUGGACUGAGGUCCGCGCAUUUGCUAGGAUGCUGGCGUAAUGGCUGUAAGCGGCCCGUCUUGAAACACGGACCAAGGAGUCUAACAUCUAUGCGAGUGUUUGGGUGUCAAGCCCGAGCGCGCAAUGAAAGUGAACGGAGGUGGGACCCCAUUAGGGUGCACCAUCGACCGAUCCUGAAGUCUUCGGAUGGAUUUGAGUAAGAGCAUGGCUGUUGGGACCCGAAAGAUGGUGAACUAUGCUUGAAUAGGGUGAAGCCAGAGGAAACUCUGGUGGAGGCUCGCAGCGGUUCUGACGUGCAAAUCGAUCGUCAAAUUUGGGCAUAGGGGCGAAAGACUAA